rnacentral:misc_RNA from 1 species
UGCCACAUGCAACACAAAAACCACAAACAAACUUAUAUCCUGUUCAUAACGAAAGCAAAUCAACAUCAUAGAUUGUCUUUCCAAGAAAGAUAAUGUUACUUGAACAUCAUUUUCAGCUUCCUGCCUUCCAAUAGCAAGUUUAAUUAAGACUUGUGAAUAGAUAAUAGGUUGUACAUAAAUAGUAGUAUCAGCAAGAAUAUAUACACAAACUAUUGAAGCAAAUUUUUAGACCAAAAUCACCACAUCUAGCUUCAGGUUAAAACUCAGAGGGAAGGAGGGAGGGAGGGAGAGAGAGAG